rnacentral:rRNA from 3 species
GGACUACCCGGGUAUCUAAUCCCGUUUGCUCCCCUGGCUUUCGCGCCUCAGCGUCAGAAGAGGUCCAGCGCGUCGCUUUCGCCACCGGCGUUCCUUCCGAUAUCUACGCAUUUCACCGCUCCACCGGAAGUUCCACACGCCCCUACCUCCCUCGAGACGACCAGUAUCAGAAGCUGUUUUCCGGUUGGGCCGAAAGAUUUCACCCCUGACUUGGCCGCCCGCCUACGCGCCCUUUAAGCCCAGUGAAUCCGAACAACGUUCGCACGGUUCGUCUUACCGCGGCUGCUGGCAC